UGAACCUGCGGAGGGAUCAUUACCGAGUUAUACAACUCAUCAACCCUGUGAACAUACCUAAACGUUGCUUCGGCGGGAACAGACGGCCCCGUAACACGGGCCGCCCCCGCCAGAGGACCCCCUAACUCUGUUUCUAUAAUGUUUCUUCUGAGUAAAACAAGCAAAUAAAUUAAAACUUUCAACAACGGAUCUCUUGGCUCUGGCAUCGAUGAAGAACGCAGCGAAAUGCGAUAAGUAAUGUGAAUUGCAGAAUUCAGUGAAUCAUCGAAUCUUUGAACGCACAUUGCGCCCGCCAGUAUUCUGGCGGGCAUGCCUGUUCGAGCGUCAUUACAACCCUCAGGCCCCCGGGCCUGGCGUUGGGGAUCGGCGGAGCCCCCCGCGGGCACACGCCGUCCCCCAAAUACAGUGGCGGUCCCGCCGCAGCUUCCAUUGCGUAGUAGCUAACACCUCGCAACUGGAGAGCGGCGCGGCCACGCCGUAAAACCCCCAACUUCUGAACGUUGACCUCGAAUCAGGUAGGAAUACCCGCUGAACUUAAGCAUAUCAAUAAGCGAAGGAA
rnacentral:rRNA from 1 species